rnacentral:rRNA from 1 species
GACAGAGGGUGCAAACGUUGUUCGGAAUUACUGGGCGUAAAGCGCGUGUAGGCGGCCAUGCAAGUCGGAUGUGAAAGCCCUCGGCUCAACCGGGGAAGUGCACUCGAAACUGCAAGGCUAGAGUCUCGGAGAGGAUCGUGGAAUUCUCGGUGUAGAGGUGAAAUUCGUAGAUAUUCGGAAGAACACCAGUGGCGAAGGCGGCUCACUGGCCCGUUACCGACGCUCAGGCGCGACAGCGUGGGGAGCAAACAGG